rnacentral:rRNA from 1 species
AGUGAACGCUGGCGGUAGGCCUAACACAUGCAAGUCGAACGGCAGCACAGUAAGAGCUUGCUCUUACGGGUGGCGAGUGGCGGACGGGUGAGGAAUACAUCGGAAUCUACUUUUUCGUGGGGGAUAACGUAGGGAAACUUACGCUAAUACCGCAUACGACCUACGGGUGAAAGCCGGGGAUCUUCGGACCUUGCGCGAUUGAAUGAGCCGAUGUCGGCUUAGCUAGUUGGCGGGGUAAAGGCCCACCAAGGAGACGAUCCGUAGCUGGUCUGCGAGGAUGAUCAGCGACAGUGGAACUGAGACACGGUCCAGACUCCUACGGGAGGCAGCAGUGGGGAAUAUUGGACAAUGGGCGCAGGCCUGAUCCAGCCAUACCGCGUGGGUGAAGAAGGCCUUCGGGUUGUAAAGCCCUUUUGUUGGGAAAGAAAAGCAGCAGGUUAAUACCCCGCUGUUCUGACGGUACCCAAAGAAUAAGCACCGGCUAACUUCGUG